rnacentral:lncRNA from 1 species
CCAUAUUUUAGUGUAUGGGGAACUCUGCCUUACUUUUAUAUCAUGUAAACACCCUCCUAGAAAUUGAACUAACCUUACUAAAGAUGCAGCCAGAGGGAAAUUAAAGGAAGGAGGUGCUUCCAAGUAUCAGAGUGAAUGACUAGUAAAUAGCUUGAUACAAUUUUUAAUCUCACAGAUCUUUGUUCUCUCAUGCAGAGUUUAACAACAAACUAGAAUUAACUUUUUAGAGGUAAUAUUUUGUCAGAUAAACUUGAACUCAGGUGUUGAUGGGACAGAUUGGAAUUUAGUAUUUCUGCUGUGUUUUUUUUUUUUAAGAACUUUCUCAUCACCUUUCACUGUGUUGAAAUGCUCUUGAUCCAUACUUUUUCUCUUUAUGAGAAUUUGAUGAUGUAGUCAAUAACAAUAUCCUCACAGAUGUUCCAUCAUGGGGAGAGACAGCUGUGUUCACUUACAAGUAGUAAGUACCAUGAAGAACUUAAUUCAAACAGAUGCAGUCUAAUUAAGACAUUAUAAGAUGUAUUACCCUCCACAAACAUACAUCACAGAGCUUAGUACUAGAAACAAAGUUCUAAGUUGACUACAGGUUUUUUUACAUGCUUAUCCUUAUUCACAAGUCAAUAUAUCUAUAAAUUACAAUUAAAGGAAUUUAUUUAUUACAGGUUUUAAAACCAAAGAAUUCAUUAUUUGUUACCCAUAGAAAGCCAACUUUACUUCUCCAGGUUUUUGUUUAAACCCAAAUUAUGUUCUGGCUAAUUUUCUGUUGGGGACAACUAGAAAUUCUUAUUGGACAUUACUUAUCAUUAUACAUGAUACCCUCAAUCUCACAACAUUACCAUCAUGCUCUGUUUGCCUAAGGCAGAAUUUCUGAAUGAUGACUUAUUGGCUUUCCAGGAAACUUAGCUUUUAUGCCACGAAAAUAUACAUGUGGUGCUUACAUCAGGUCAUUUAGCUAUUUACUUAUUUGUGAGAUAUUUAUCAUUGACUGUAGCCCCUCUUUCAUUUAUUUGUUCUCUUCUCUGUAUUACAGGGACUGGAGGCCUACGGGUUGUGUUCUCAUACCUAUUGCUAGCUGGCCUACUAUGGAGUUUAAGGUGAGACAUGUCUGAAAAAAAUAAUCUAUUUUUUUCGUAAGCAGUAGUUUCAUUUCAGAAUUUGAACACUUAAUUCUCAGCACCACUGUACUAGUUCCAGCCCUGCCCAAGCAAUAACUUCCUUUAUACUGUAGUUAGUUCAGAUAAGUUGUUUCAAGUCCAAGAGUUGAAAUGACCCUCUUUCUCCCUAAAUUUCAUUUUUCAUCUUACAUGUACUACAAGAACCACCCUCUUUUACUUUAUUCUUUAACUCAUUUAUGACAUACUUGUAACCAGUUCCCUGUAGUAAAUCCUUUUCUGUUUGGAAUAUCUAGAAAUCUGUUGUCUCAGGUUGACUUUGAUACUGCACUUACUAUUGGAAGUAGUCCCAAGAAAUUGAUCUUUAAAGAUGGUAUCUUGAGGUGGUUUUUCUAACUUGACUAGGCUUGAAAGUUAUAAUAACCUUAUUGCCAGAGGGAAAUCAGGUAAGAUAAGUGUAUGUAGUAACAGAACAAUUUAAUUCAUUACUUAUUUUUGCUUGGGAUGAAGUGCCAGUUUAAAACAAGACUAAGACAGGUUGUUUGUCACAAUUGACUUUUUUGAUGGGAAAGAAAAUAACAAAAAUUCAGGCUUGCUAUAAAUUUCUCAUUAAAUUUAGAGGGAAAAAAAGGACAAGCACAGACUUCAAAAUUUCAGCACAAGUUACAGAAUGAGAGCCACUAACUUUCCAUGAUUAUGCUACAGGUAUAUCUUAUCUCAUUAUAAGAAUGUUGUGUCUAAAAUUCAAACCCAAAAUUUAACUUUUUGUGAGGGAAAAUGUAAGUUGAAUCAUAAAAUUAUUGCUAUCAUUGAAAAUUGAGAAAGAAAUGGGACCCUGAGAAUUAUAAUGAGGGUUUGUGUGAAAACUCAAAUAUAGAAACUUGAACAUCCACAUCCCUUUGAGCCUGCAUAGCUAGGCAGCACAGGUCUUUCCCUGUACAAGGAGACCAGUCUUCCUUUGUUUGAACACCUUGUAGUAACAUCAGCUGUAGAUUCACCUUUCAUAGGGAUACACAUUAUUAUUAGGUACCUGCUCCCACCCGUUUGGUACCUUUCAUUGUUCUUGUCUCAAAAUUAGUUAUGUCCCAUGAUACUUGGUCUCAGGAGACAAAUUUAGAGUCUGAACCAGGAAGAGAUAACUGAUACCCCACAAUAUUUUUAAUUGCUAUUUUAUUUCAGCAGAAAGCUGGUAAAUAUGUUAGGAAGUGAAUUUUUAGGGUUCUAGACCAAGAAUCAAAAAUGGGAUUAUGUAGGCUCAUCUGUUUUUUUAAAUUAAAUUUUAUUGAAACACAGCCAUGUAAUCAUUUAUGUAUAUGUGCCAAUGACUGCUUUUGUGCUAUCAUGACAGAACUGAGUGAUUGUAACAUAAAGCUUAGGGCCAUCAAGUUUAGUAUAUUUACUAUUGGACCUUUCAGGGAAAAGUUUGCUGACCUCUGAUCCAGGCCAAGGAAGAUAGAGUGUCACAUUGGAUCAGGCUAAAUUUGUUGAUACUGGUAUUUUUAUACAGAUUUAGAAGUAAUGUGUUUACCAGAAUAGCACAGUUGAUUGGCAGAAGCCUGGAUCCAAAACUGUCCUAUAUUCAUUGAGUCUAGGAUAACAGAAACUCUAGUAUUAAAUAGAUGAUUAUGAAGAUAGAAGAAUGUUUAACUCCACUACCACAAAUAUGUACCAGUUUCAGAUGGCAUAGUGGAAUCUUGAACUGGCAGAGGCAAAGAGGCAGGUGUAGUUAUUCUAAUGAAAGUAGGGCUAGAGGAGUAAAUAUGUUUUAAUAUGUGAAGAUUGUUCGUGGUAUCUAAUUGAUCAUUUGUAUCCUUUUAUUAAGAUUCCACAUAUGAGUAAUAUCAUACAUUUGUUUCUCACUGUCUAACAUCACUUAGUGUGAUAAUUUCAUCCAUGUUGCUUUGAAUGCCAUUGUUUCAUUUUUUUAAUGACUGAAUAAUAUUCCAUUGCAUAUAUAUACCAUAUCUUCUUUAUGCAUUCCUCUAUCAAUGGGCAUUUAGGUUGCUUUCAUCUCUUAUCUGUUGUAUAUAGAGCUGCAAUGACAUUGGGGUACAUGUACCUUUUUGAAUCAUGUUUUUCUCUGAAUAGGUGUCCAGGAGUGGGAUUGCUGGAUCAUAUGGUAAUUCUAUUUUUAAUUUUUUGAGGAACCUUCAUACUGUUCUCCAUAGUGGUUUCACCAAUUUACAUACCCACCCACAUGCUAAGAGUGUUCCCUUUUCUCCAAACCCUCUCCAGGAUUUAUUGUUUAUAGACUUUUUGAUGAUGGCCAUUCUGGCUGGUGUAAGAUGGUGUCUUACAGUAAUUCUGAUUUGCAUUUUUCUACUGUUGAUGUUGAACAUCUUUUCAUGUGCUUUUUUGGCCAUCCAUAUGUCUUCUUUGGUGAAAUGUCUGUUUAGAUCUUCUGCCCAUUUUCAAUGGGUGGUUUUUUUUGAUAUUGAGUUGCAAGAUGUGUUUAUAUAUUUUGGAGAUUAAUUCCUUUUCAAUCACUUCAUUUGCAAAUAUUUUCUCCCAUUCUGAGGGCUGUCUUUUCAUUUUGUUUAUAUUUUCCUUUGCUGCGCAAAAAAACUUUUAAGUUUAAUUAGGUCCCAUUUGUUUAUUUUUUUUUAAUUGUCAUUACUCUAGGAGGUGGAUCUGAGAAGAUAUUGCUGUAAUUUAUCUUAGAGAGUAUUCAGCCUACGUUUUCCUCUAAGAGUUUUAUAGUAUCUGGUCAUAUAUUUAGGUCUUUAAUCCAUUUUUAUUUUAUUUUUAUAUAUGGUGUUAGUGUUCUAAUCUUAUUCUUUUACAUAUAGUUUUCUAGUUUUCCCGGAACCAUUUCUUAAAGAGACACAUUUCCCAUUGUUAUAUUCUUGCCUCCUUUGUUGUAGAUUAGUUGACCAUAGGUGUGUGGGUUUAUUUCUACUUGAUUAUAACAAUGAAAUAAAUGAGCAUCCAGCAAAAUAUUACGUAGCCUAUAUAAUCAGGAUGACUUUGGAACUAUUUUGGAUCUCAUUUUCCAGACAACAGCUGGUUUACAUAUCCAGAGUUGUUUAAUGGAAGGAAACUAUGUCCUUUUGAACAAGAAUCGUUUAAAUUGCUAGCUUCCAUUCUGUGGAUUGUUACAGUCCAGUGUUCUGAGGCUUGUCAGAGUAUCUCCUUAAAAGAGAGAAAAGUUAAUACAUCUUUUACUACUAUGUACUCCGCCCCUCUGCCACACACAGACCUACAUACUCAAUGCUUGUGGCCAUAUUCUUCCCUUUUUUUUGGGGGGGGAGCAAUUACAUACUUGAAUAUUCUCCAGGUUAUCUGUUGGAAUGCCAAUAUAAAUGAGGAACAAUGCUCCGCAACAGUUUAGGCUAUAUACACACUCUUCUGUUUCUUGGGUCUUAUGAUAUAGUAAAUUUGAUGGCACUGAAGAGUUUAUAGCAGACAGAAAUGACGUAUGGACCCCUUAGAAAACCCAAAAAUAGAAUAACAGUGCCAACCCUAAGGCAUUUUAGGAAAUCCAUGUCCCUAAAUUCGAUUUCUAUUUUGAGAACUUCCUUGUGGGUCCUUGUAAAGAUGGAAUGCUUUACCACAAACAUAAAAAACUAUGCAUUCCAAGUGUCACACUAUAAACCUGAUGUUAUCUGAUUUGACCAGCCAUUAAAAUCAGAUGUGCACUGUCAGAAUCCCUAAACAAAUAGAAUAAGAGCAUUUUAAAUUGUAAUUGGACAGAUGAUGAAAACAUUGUGAAUUGCAUGAAUAAGAUCAGAGUUCUAAGGUACCCAUUCCUGCUAUAUUUAUUUAUGUCUCUUAACGCACAUGUGUUUUCAUAUUGCAUUUCCUAUAACUAUAGCACUAAGGAAGAAGAUCAUUGGCUAUGGUUUAUACAUGGCUUUGCAUAGUUUGACACAGUAUGGAAGGACUUUUUUCUCAUCACCACGGCUAUUUGAGAUGGCACAGAAAGAUGAAAGAAAAUCCUUCAAGUAGAAUAUUCAACCAAUGUAUCUUGUUUGCUUUCCUUUGAUGAAAAGAUGAUCAGAGGUAUAGAUAUAUAUUACAUUUUGGACAAUGGCUCAUGGCCAUUCAUUAAUCAUAACAGACACCUUCAUUUUAAAGAUGAGGAAGCUGAAGCAAAUAAAUUUUAACUAGAUUUACUAAAGACAAGUUGGUAUGAUGUAGUAGAGCUAGUGAUUCAAGAAAGAUGGUUUUAGGAGUUCCCAUCGUGGCUCAGUGGUUAAUGAACCCGACUAAUAUCCAUGAGGAUGCGGGUUCUAGUAUCUAUGAAGAUGCAGAUUUUAUCCCUGGUCUUGCUCGGUGGGUUACGUAUCCAGCAUGGCCGUGAGCCGUGGUGUAGGCUGCAGACAUGGCUCAGAUCCUACAUUGCUGAGGCUAUGGUGUGGGUCAACAGCUACAGCUCCGAUUGGACCCCUAGCCUGGGAAC